rnacentral:rRNA from 1 species
UACGAAGGGGGCUAGCGUUGCUCGGAAUCACUGGGCGUAAAGCGCACGUAGGCGGCUUCUUAAGUCAGGGGUGAAAUCCUGGAGCUCAACUCCAGAACUGCCCUUGAUACUGAGAAGCUUGAGUCCGGGAGAGGUGAGUGGAACUGCGAGUGUAGAGGUGAAAUUCGUAGAUAUUCGCAAGAACACCAGUGGCGAAGGCGGCUCACUGGCCCGGUACUGACGCUGAGGUGCGAAAGCGUGGGGAGCAAACAGG